rnacentral:tRNA from 1 species
GGCCGGUUAGCUCAGCUGGUUAGAGCGUGGUGCUAAUAACGCCAAGGUCCUGGGUUCGAUCCCCAUACUGGCCU